rnacentral:rRNA from 1 species
UACGGGGGGGGCAAGCGUUGUUCGGAAUUACUGGGCGUAAAGGGCUCGUAGGUGGCCAACUAAGUCGGACGUGAAAUCCCUCAGCUUAACUGGGGAACUGCGUCCGAUACUGGAUGGCUUGAGUUUGGGAGAGGGAUGCGGAAUUCCAGGUGUAGCGGUGAAAUGCGUAGAUAUCUGGAGGAACACCGGUGGCGAAGGCGGCAUCCUGGACCAACACUGACACUGAGGAGCGAAAGCGUGGGGAGCAAACAGG